GAGUUCAUGCCCUCACGGGUAGAUCUCCCACCCUUGAAUAUUAUACCUUCGUUGCUUUGGCAGGCCGUGGAAACACCAUGGGCUCCGGCUGAUGCGUGCCUGCCAGAGGAAACAAAACUCUGUUUUAGUGAUGUCUGAGUACUAUAUAAUAGUUAAAACUUUCAACAACGGAUCUCUUGGUUCU
rnacentral:misc_RNA from 1 species